rnacentral:tRNA from 1 species
AUUUAAAUAGUUUAAUUAAAAUAUUGAUUUGUGGAGUCAAAGAUGUAUAAUUUUGUAUAUUUUAAAUA